rnacentral:rRNA from 1 species
AUGGCCGAUAAUGCAUCAUGCUCUAUCUGUGGUGUAGACGAUGAUACUUGGCGACACUCCCUACUGAGCUGCCGGAUGGCUAGGUGCAUAUGGGCCUUGGGUGAUGAAGAGCUACUUGAGCAUGUGAUAUCAAACCAGAUUGCGGAUGCGAAGCUAUGGAUGUUUUGGCUUUUUGAAACUACAAAUCACCAAGAUCUUACCAGGGUUCUCGUCACGAUGUGGGAAAUUUGGUGGGCUCGCCGGAAAGCUAUUCAUGAGAAUGAGUUCCAAAGUCCAUUGUCAACCAUGAACUUCGUUAAGAGGUUUCUGGAGGAUUUAAACAUCGCAACAACUAAGGCACCAAGUUUGCAGCCGGGCCGCCACUCGGUACAGAAGCCGCGAGUUUGGUUGCCACCAACAGGAGAAGAAGCAGCAAAAAUAAAUUGUGACGGAGCCAUCUCUACUCUUGGGGAGAAAGGAGCAGCAGUUGUAAAGUGUCGGGACAGAUCAGGUAAAUUUCUAGGGGCAUCAGCGGUGGUUUUUGAUGGCUUGGUUGACCCGCCAAGUUUAGAGGCGCAAGCGUGCAGUGAGGCCCUGGCCCUUGCACGAGACUUGAAUCUGUAG